GGUUCGAUUAUGGCUCAGAUUGAACGCUGGCGGGAUGCUUUACACAUGCAAGUCGAACGGCAGCACGGACUUCGGUCUGGUGGCGAGUGGCGAACAGGUGAGUAAUGUAUCGGAACGUGCCUAGUAGCGGGGGAUAACUACGCGAAAGCGUAGCUAAUACCGCAUACGCCCUUCGAGGGAAAGCGGGGGGACCUUCGGGCCUCGCACUAUUAAACGGCCGAUAUCGGAUUAGCUAGUUGGUGGGGUAACGGCUCACCAAGGCGACGAUCCGUAGCUGGUUUGAGAGGACGACCAGCCACACUGGGACUGAGACACGGCCCAGACUCCUGCGGGAGGCAGCAGUGGGAAUUUUGGACAAUGGGGAAACCUGAUCAGCCAUCCCGCGUGUGCGAUGAAGGCCUUCGGGUUGUAAAGCACUUUUGGCAGGAGAGAAACGGCACGGGAUAAUACCCCGUGCAACUGACGGUACCUGCAGAAUAAGCACCGGCUAACUACGUGCCAGCAGCCGCGGUAAUACGUAGGGUGCAAGCGUUAAUCGGAAUUACUGGGCGUAAAGCGUGCGCAGGCGGUUCGGAAAGAAAGAUGUGAAAUCCCAGAGCUUAGCUUUGGAACUGCAUUUUAACUACCGGCUAGAGUGUGUCAGAGGGAGGUGGGAAUUCCCGCGUGUAGCAGUGAAAUGCGUAGAUAUGCGGAGGAACACCGAUGGCGAAGGCAGCCUCCUGGGAUAACACUGACGCUCAUGCACGAAAGCGUGGGAGCAAACAGGAUUGAAUACCCCGGUAGUCCACGCCUAAACGAUGUCAACUAGCUGUUGGGGCCUUCGGGCCUUGGUAGCGCAGCUAACGCGUGAAGUUGACCGCCUGGGGAGUACGGUCGCAAGAUUAAAACUCAAAGGAAUUGACGGGGACCCGCACAAGCGGUGGAUGAUGUGGAUUAAUUCGAUGCAACGCGAAAAACCUUACCUACCCUUGACAUGUCUGGAAUCCCGAAGAGAUUUGGGAGUGCUCGCAAGAGAACCGGAACACAGGUGCUGCAUGGCUGUCGUCAGCUCGUGUCGUGAGAUGUUGGGUUAAGUCCCGCAACGAGCGCAACCCUUGUCAUUAGUUGCUACGAAAGGGCACUCUAAUGAGACUGCCGGUGACAAACCGGAGGAAGGUGGGGAUGACGUCGAAGUCCUCAUGGCCCUUAUGGGUAGGGCUUCACACGUCAUACAAUGGUCGGGACGGGGGUCGCCAACCCGCGAGGGGAGCCAAUCCCAGAGGAAACCCGAUCGUAGUCCGGAUCGCAGUCUGCAACUCGACUGCGUGAAGUCGGAAUCGCUAGUAAUCAUGAGUCAGCAUGUCGCGGUGAAUACGUUCCCGGGUCUUGUACACACCGCCCGUCACACCAUGGGAGUGGGUUUUACCAGAAGUAGUUAGCCUAACCGUAAGGAGAGGGCGAUUACCACAGUAGGAUUCAUGACUGGGGUGAAGUCGUAACAAGGUAG
rnacentral:rRNA from 1 species